GGCCUUGUGGUCCAGAGGCAAGAUACUUGCUUUGGGCUUUGUAGUAACUGCAAGUGACCUGGGUUCGAUUCCCAGCAAGGCCC